rnacentral:rRNA from 1 species
CCUACGGGGGGCUGCAGUGGGGAAUAUUGGACAAUGGGCGAAAGCCUGAUCCAGCCAUGCCGCGUGUGUGAAGAAGGCCUUCGGGUUGUAAAGCACUUUCAGUGGGGAAGAAAGCCUUGGGGCUAAUACCCUCGAGGAAGGACAUCACCCACAGAAGAAGCACCGGCUAACUCCGUGCCAGCAGCCGCGGUAAUACGGAGGGUGCGAGCGUUAAUCGGAAUUACUGGGCGUAAAGCGCGCGUAGGCGGUCUGAUAAGCCGGUUGUGAAAGCCCCGGGCUCAACCUGGGAACGGCAUCCGGAACUGUCAGGCUAGAGUGCAGGAGAGGAAGGUAGAAUUCCCGGUGUAGCGGUGAAAUGCGUAGAGAUCGGGAGGAAUACCAGUGGCGAAGGCGGCCUUCUGGACUGACACUGACGCUGAGGUGCGAAAGCGUGGGUAGCAAACAGGAUUAGAUACCGAGUAGUC